rnacentral:tRNA from 1 species
GGGGUUGUAGCUCAGUGGUAGAGCGCUUGCCUUGCAUAUACAAGUACCUGGGUUCAAUCCUCAGCACCA